CCUACGGGUGGCAGCAGUGAGGAAUAUUGGUCAAUGGGCGCUAGCCUGAACCAGCCAAGUAGCGUGAAGGAUGACUGCCCUAUGGGUUGUAAACUUCUUUUAUAUGGGAAUAAAGUGCAGUAUGUAUACUGCUUUGCAUGUACCUUAUGAAUAAGGAUCGGAUAACUCCGUGCCAGCAGCCGCGGUAAUACGGAGGAGCCGAUCGUUAUCCGGAUUUAGUGGGUUGAAAGGGAGCGUAGGCGGGUUGUUAAGUCAGUUGUGAAAGGUUGCGGCUCAACCCUAAAAUUGCAGUUGAUACUGUCAUCCUUGAGUACAGUAGAGGUAGGCGGAUUUCGUGGUGUAGC
rnacentral:rRNA from 1 species